rnacentral:rRNA from 1 species
AGACAGAGGGUGCGAACGUUGCUCGGAAUUACUGGGCGUAAAGCGCGUGUAGGCGGACUUGUAAGUCGAUUGUGAAAGCCCUGGGCUCAACCCAGGAACUGCAUUCGAAACUACAAGUCUUGAGUGGUGGAGAGGGAAGCGGAAUUCCCGGUGUAGAGGUGAAAUUCGUAGAUAUCGGGAGGAACACCAGCGGCGAAGGCGGCUUCCUGGACACCAACUGACGCUGAGACGCGAAAGCGUGGGGAGCAAACAGGAUUAGAAACCCCUGUAGUCC